UGAAAUUGGGCUUCUGUCUCUUAACCAUUCCUGCUCUUACUGAAACUCCACCUUCAGGAAGUCAUCACAAUAUAGCUCCUCUAUUAAUCCUUUAACGUUUUACCAACAAUGCUCUGAGAAGCAGCAG